GAUGAACGCUAGCGGCAGGCUUAACACAUGCAAGUCGAGGGGCAGCAGGGGUAGCAAUACUCGCUGGCGACCGGCAAACGGGUGCGGAACACGUACACAAUCUACCUUUAUCUGGGGUAUAGCCCGAAGAAAUUCGGAUUAAUCCCCCAUAAGAUAUUAGAGUGGCAUCACUUCGAUAUUAAAACUCCGGUGGAUAAAGAUGAGUGUGCGUCCCAUUAGCUAGUUGGUAGGGUGACGGCCUACCAAGGCAACGAUGGGUAGCUGGUGUGAGAGCACGACCAGCCACACGGGCACUGAGACCCGGGCCCGACUCCUACGGGAGGCAGCAGUGAGGAAUAUUGGUCAAUGGACGCAAGUCUGAACCAGCCAUGCCGCGUGAAGGAUGAAGGCCUUCUGGGUUGUAAACUUCUUUUAUUGGGGAAGAAAAUUACGGUUUCUACUGUAACCGACGGUACCCAAGGAAUAAGCACCGACUAACUCCGUGCCAGCCGCCGCUGUAAGAC
rnacentral:rRNA from 1 species